GCUGGCGGCGUGCUUAACACAUGCAAGUCAAGCGACGCUCCUCCUUCGGGAGGAUGACGGAGCGGCGAACGGGUGAGUAACACGUGGGCAACCUGCCCCUAGCUCUGGGAUAAGCCCGGGAAACCGGGUCUAAUACCGGAUAUGAAGCCUGAAGGCAUCUUCGGACUUGGAAAGUUCUUCGGCUAGGGAUGGGCCCGCGGCCUAUCAGCUUGUUGGUGGGGUAAUGGCCCACCAAGGCGACGACGGGUAGCCGGCCUGAGAGGGCGACCGGCCACACUGGGACUGAGACACGGCCCAGACUCCUACGGGAGGCAGCAGUGGGGAAUAUUGCACAAUGGGCGAAAGCCUGAUGCAGCGACGCCGCGUGAGGGAUGACUGCCUUCGGGUUGUAAACCUCUUUCAGCUCCGACGAAGCGCAAGUGACGGUAGGAGCAGAAGAAGCACCGGCCAACUACGUGCCAGCAGCCGCGGUAAUACGUAGGGUGCAAGCGUUGUCCGGAAUUAUUGGGCGUAAAGAGCUCGUAGGCGGUCUGUCACGUCGGCUGUGAAAACCUGGGGCUCAACUCCGGGCCUGCAGCCGAUACGGGCAGACUAGAGUUCGGCAGGGGAGACUGGAAUUCCUGGUGUAGCGGUGAAAUGCGCAGAUAUCAGGAGGA
rnacentral:rRNA from 1 species